UUCGACGCUGUUUUCCAGCCUCGCCGUGACGUCACGCUGCGUAUCCCGAGCGCUCCCCGGAACGCGUGGUCCCGAUCGCGAGCACGUGGAAGUGAGGUCGAGAUGUUUCCGUGAGACGCGCGACUGAUCAUCAGGGAUGUUGUGGGGGGGGGGAGGACCAAAAGGAAUAGAAACGAGAGAAAACCCACCACGAAAAGCUGGAACCGAAGAGAGCUUCAGCCGCUGUUACUUUUUGAUGAAUCAGAUCUAUCUGCAGCACGAGAACCGAGGAGCUGACGUCGUGGGAAAAUGUCAACGCUCAUAUUCUGGGCAGUGCAGUUGCAGACCCCCCCCCCCCCGUGCAGUCCCGUGUUUUACGGCCGCCGCCGCACUUACGACCAGCAGAGAUACCGAUCAGAAUGGGAAGGAUGCGACGCUGAAUGCAGUCGGCGUUGGAUUCAGUUUCACCGAGUCCUAAAACACACACACAAACACACAAACACCGCAUGGGUUUUAAUACUAUCUACUUCCUCCUUUCUUCGAGGGGACACAUACACCCUGAAUGGGCCCCUGUGGUGAUCUGCGUUGUGGUCGAGAGUGUUACAACUGCCACGCUGGUCUGCUUAAAGGGGCCGUGCUGCUGAUCCUCUUUCAGGGGGUCCGUACGUCGCCGCAGCGUUUCAGGCUUCUGCACGGCUGCAUGUUUCCGCCUGUUGUCAGUGAGCGAGUGCGUUCUUGUACUAAUUGCAUAAACUUUAGGAAUCUAUAAUAGCUGGGGGGGGGCGGGGGGGGCUUGAGAAUUUGAGAAUCUAAAGAGAAUUAUUGAUCCGUCCACAGCGAAAGUGAAAGUCGAAUGGACUUUGUAAGUGUUUUAAGAAGCUGCACCCGUGUUUGAAAUAAAUAUUUCACAGGUC